AACGCACCUUGCGCCCCUUGGCAUUCCGAGGGGCACGCCUGUUUGAGUGUCGUGAACUCCUCCACCCUCUACCUUUUUCGGAAGGCACUGGGCUGGGAUUUGGGAGCUUGCGGGUCCCUGGCCGAUCCGCUCUCCUUGAAUACAUUAGCGAAGCCCUUGCGGCCUUGGUGUGAUAGUCAUCUACGCCUUGGCUUAGCGAACAUAUGGGAAUCGCUUCCAACCGUCUCGCAAGAGACAAUCACUACCAAUUUGACCUCAAAUCAGGCGGGACUACCCGCUGAACUUAA
rnacentral:misc_RNA from 1 species